rnacentral:rRNA from 1 species
GGCGAGUGUAGAGGGAAGAGCCCAAGAUUGAAAGCUGGCGUCUUCGGCGUCCGCAUUGUAAUCUCAAGAAGUGUUUUCCGCUUCGGACCAUGCCUAAGUCCCUUGGAAAAGGGCAUCAUAGAGGGUGAUAAUCCCGUACAUGGCAUGGAGCGCCCGAAGCUUUGUGAUACGCUUUCUAAGAGUCGAGUUGUUUGGGAAUGCAGCUCAAAAUGGGUGGUAAAUGCCAUCUAAGGCUAAAUAUUGGGGAGAGACCGAUAGCGAACAAGUACAGUGAUGGAAAGAUGAAAAGAACUUUGAAAAGAGAGUUAAACAGUACGUGAAAUUGCCAAAAGGGAAGGGUAGGAGGUCAGAGAUGCGGCCUGGGAUUCAGCCUUGCUUUUGCUUGGUGUUUUUCCCAGAUUGCAGGCCAACGUCGGUUUUGGGCACUGGAGAAGGGUAGGAGGAACGUGGCACCUCUCGGGGUGUGUUAUAGCCUCCUACUGGAUACAGCGACCGAGACCGAGGACAGCAGCGUACUCGCAAGAGCGGGCCUUCGGGCACCUUUACGCUUAGGGCGUUGGCAUAAUGGCCCUCUACCACCCGUCUGAA